CCGACCGUCUACAGAAUGGAGUAACCUACGCCUACUAUUAGACGUCAGCCUUUUCCUAAGGGACAAAAGUCUGCUACCCAACUGACCAUGUCUGUUACUAAACCGUCCAUUCCUCCUGCAAAUCUGCCCAUCCCCCAGCCGCAAGGUGGAGUCUAUGGAUGUCUCGACACGGUCAAGUGGGACCUGCAGCUCGCCUAGAGGAACAAUCUACUCAUCGACAUGUAUGACGAGCACAAAGGGAGGACUGUCUGCAUAGUGUCACACACUAGAACACUUGAGGCGAGCCCGUACAUACUGUAUUGUGUACAUACUUGUAUCUUCAGCAUUCUCAGUUCCCGAUGCGGCAAGACGUUUAUCGACUCAAGUCUUUCGGGACAGUAUGGUGUGGGCUGUCACUCUCCAUAGCACGUUUCAGGAUGUCCAUACUGUAACGAUACACCGUGUUUUAAUGGGCGGAAACGAUGCCCUAACAUCUGGCUCUAAUGGGCAAUCAUUUGCGUGACUGACAUGCUUUGCCAGAGCCAGCGCAAAAUUGCGGAGAGGUUGCGCAUAAUUAAUUCAAAAUUAUGCAACCUUAAUAACACUAGACUUUGAAGUGGAUUUAAUGACCAGAAGUAGACAGUAUUUGCAG
rnacentral:misc_RNA from 1 species